rnacentral:tRNA from 1 species
GCCGAAAUAGCUUAGUUGGGAGAGCGUUAGACUAUAAAUCGAAAGUCCCUGGCUCGAUCCCGGGUUUCGGCA